AUGAAGUUAUCCCUGUGGGGACUGUGAGAGGAAGGGCUCUGGGUACCUUGCUUGAGUGGGAUUGGAGUGGGUGACCUCCUGGGGUCCCUGCCAACCUCAGCCAUUCUGGAAUGAUGUGCUUUGGGACAGCGUAAGAUGUUCCUUCCUGGCCUCUUUGCUCAGGAGUUGCAGCGGUCCCACUGUCAUUGGGAGCAGCAGAGAUCUGUACUGAAUGAUUAGGACUGAGUAAAAUAGGUGAGGAGAUAGUAAGCAGUGGCUUGAGGAGUUAUGGCAACAUCACCACCGUGACUUCUAAGGAGCUCACAAAGGAAGAAGCAGGAUUUUCAAUGAGCAGGGCUUCCAGCAUCUUCAAGUGCCACACAAGUGCCACUGGUUGCCUUUGCCAACCUGGGUGUGCAGCCACCAUCCCCAGUAAAGCAUCCAGGCUGGGAACCACAGAAAUGCCACAUCUCAGCCACAACCCUUCUGUAGCCACCCGCAGUAAACCACAGUGCAGUGAGUGCUCAUUCAGAAGAAAACGUACCCUCUUCUUCCAGCCCCUCCUUCUGCUCGCCUUGUCCUUGAGCACUCUUCAUUCCCAGCCCGUGACAUGCUGCAGGCCAUCGUCAAGCUGUGCUGUGGCAUUGCCCAUGACCACCUCCGCAAGUUGCCCGGCCUGAAGACAGCAGCCACUGCGGUGAUGCAGGAGUUGGGAGGCUCACACUGCCUGCCUUCUGAAAUUCCUCCUUGUAUCCAGAGGCUCAUGGGGAAGGAUGCUGCCAGGUGCACUGAGCCUGAAGCAGACGUGCAGCCCUCCAGCAUGGACCUGUCCUACAUCCACCAGGGCUGCGUCAGGGCCGAGACGCGGCUGAGCUGUAUCGUGCUGCAACCACUGCCAGGCGACCCGAGCUGCACACACGUCACGUGGCUGCUCAGCAUGGACCUGAAGGGCUGGAUCCCCACCUCAGUCACCAACCGCGUCCUGCCGCAGUGCCAGGUCGAGUUCAUCAGGCACCUCCGCCAGCACCUCUCUGCCACCGCCUGUCCCUGACCCCAGUACACCGUUACUCAUUUGUGGAGACGUAGCUUUGUAUUUCUGUGUGUAUAUUAUAUGGACAUAUGGAUAGGAUUUCCCCUCCUGUGCAACCACAGAGCCAAGGCAGGCAUCACUGCAAAGCACGGACAGAAACCUAUCUUCCCUCUCUCAGCUCUUUCUGGAGCCAUGAAGCAUGACUGCAGCCACUCUGGGGGGUUUGGAUCCUGUAUAUCCCCAUGGCUCUGCUUAUUUAUUGGAAAGAUAAAGCUGCUUGCAAAAGCCACGUGAAACCCUGGCUGAUAAAUAGGAGUUAAAUAAAACACAGAAGUGGCAGCUCACUAUGAGAGAUCCAUUUCAAUCGCACGCAGGUCACGCACUCCCAUACCAUACUUUUCCCACGCUCCAAAUAAAUCAACUG
rnacentral:lncRNA from 7 species